GUUGACCUCGGAUCAGGUAGGAUUACCCGCUGAACUUAAGCAUAUCAAUAAGCGGAGGAAAAGAAACCAACAGGGAUUGCCUCAGUAACGGCGAGUGAAGCGGCAACAGCUCAGAUUUGGAAUCUGGUCCCUCGGGGCCCGAGUUGUAAUCUGGAGAGGAUGCUUCUGGCGCGGCGCCGUCCGAGUUCCCUGGAACGGGACGCCGGAGAGGGUGAGAGCCCCGUACGGUCGGACGCCUAGCCUGUGUGAAGCUCCUUCGACGAGUCGAGUAGUUUGGGAAUGCUGCUCAAAAUGGGAGGUAAAUUUCUUCUAAAGCUAAAUACCGGCCAGAGACCGAUAGCGCACAAGUAGAGUGAUCGAAAGAUGAAAAGCACUUUGAAAAGAGG
rnacentral:rRNA from 2 species